rnacentral:rRNA from 1 species
GACGAACGCUGGCGGCGUGCUUAACACAUGCAAGUCGAACGGAAAGGCCCUGCUUUUGUGGGGUGCUCGAGUGGCGAACGGGUGAGUAACACGUGAGUAACCUGCCCUUGACUUUGGGAUAACUUCAGGAAACUGGGGCUAAUACCGGAUAGGAGCUCCUGCUGCAUGGUGGGGGUUGGAAAGUUUCGGCGGUUGGGGAUGGACUCGCGGCUUAUCAGCUUGUUGGUGGGGUAGUGGCUUACCAAGGCUUUGACGGGUAGCCGGCCUGAGAGGGUGACCGGCCACAUUGGGACUGAGAUACGGCCCAGACUCCUACGAGAGGCAGCAGUGGGGAAUAGUGCACAAUGGGCGGAAGCGUGAUGCAGCAACGCCGCGUGCGGGAUGACGGCCUUCGGGUUGUAAACCGCUUUCGCCGGUGACGAAGCGUGAGUGACGGUAAGGAGUAAAGAAGCACCGGCUAACUACG